rnacentral:lncRNA from 1 species
UUUCUCCCCCUCCAACCCAACAAGCCCUUCUCCAAACAAAGCCUUUGAAACCGGGUUAAACCGGAUCUUCCCAAACGACCGGCUUUUGCUGACCAAUACCUCUUUGAUCAUAUCCGGGUCGGAUACCGCCAGCCUAGCCUUUGACCCGAACCAAUACAAAAAAGUAUCUCCAUAAACUUUUGACCAGUUGUAAUAGUGUGGCAUCACUCUUUGAACCACUCCCUCAUGGUUGAAAGAAACCGGGCGAGAUGAUUCCGCCUCAGUGAUCAUCUUCCGCCGGGUCCCGGCUGAGUUUCCGAAUAUCGGACGAUAGCCGGGACCGCGGACGCCUUGUUGACGGAAGUGGAGUUGGAUCCGAAGUGGGAUCCAUAUGUAUUUGUAGAGGAUGGUGAGUAUGAUGAAGAAUAGAGGAAGAAGAAGCAUAAAACUCAUUGUUAGUUGUGUGUGAAAGAGAAAUCUGGUCAUGGAUUGGGAUAGGGACUUCAAUAACCUGGGAAGAUGUGAUACGUGGUGAGAAUUUGGUUAGUAUCGGUUUCAUGUGUUAUGGAAUCGAUACUCGCUGUAACAAUUGAUUGAGAAAAUCUUAAAA